rfam:Kordia algicida OT-1 1103813601120 genomic scaffold, whole genome shotgun sequence.
CAAGCAGGCUACCUUAUCGCCGUGUGCCCAAUCAAGUUUGGGGCAAGGAGGAAAGUCCGAACACCAUAGUGCAAUUGUAGCGGAUAACAUCCGUCCGUCGUGAGGCGAGGACAAGUGCAACAGAAAGAAUGUACAGGUAAUGCUGUAGUGAAAUCAGGUAAACUCUACGAGGUGCAAUGCCAUGUAAAUGAGCGUUUGAGAGCGGCACGUUCGAUGCUCAAGGGUAGGCAGAUAAAAGUUGCUGGUAACGGUAAUUUUAGAUAAAUGAUAAGGCUCGACAGGAUUCGGCUUACGGCCUGCUUUUUAA